rnacentral:rRNA from 1 species
UACAGGGGGGGCAAGCGUUGUUCGGAAUUACUGGGCGUAAAGGGCGCGUAGGCGGACUGGUAAGUCGGUCGUGAAAUCCUUCGGCUCAACCGAAGAACGUCGAUCGAAACUGCCGUUCUUGAGGAUUGCAGAGGAGACUGGAAUUCCCGGUGUAGCGGUGAAAUGUGUAGAGAUCGGGAGGAACACCGGUGGCGGAGGCGGGUCUCUGGGCAAUUCCUGACGCUGAGGCGCGAAAGCGUGGGGAGCAAACGGG